GUGGUGAAAAGGACCGACCCGGAAGCGAAGCGGGGGCAACUUCCGUUCUUUGUUCUGUCCCCGGUGUGUGGGGCUGUGACAGGGUCCAACAGGGCCUGGUCUGUGUCCGGUCCCCCCCAAGUCUCCCGUCCCUGCCCCUAGGCAUUGGCAUCAGCUGCAGUCAGAAUUCCCAGGAACUUGAACAGAGGCUGCCAGAUUCCCAGUAAUUGCUACUUUGGCCUUACUAGGGACUAACUGCAAAGAAGGAAGGGAAGAACCCAGCAGUGCUUUCCUAUUCUCAUUCAAAACC